rnacentral:rRNA from 1 species
CCUACGGGUGGCAGCAGUAGGGAAUCUUUCACAAUGGGCGAAAGCCUGAUGGAGCAACGCCGCGUGAAGGUCAGUGCCCUAUGGGCGUUAAACUUCUUUUGUGCGGGAGCAAUAAUGGUCACGUGUGGCCAGACGAGAGUACCGUACGAAUAAGCAUCGGCUAACUCCGUGCCAGCAGCCGCGGUAAUACGGGGGAUGCAAGCGUUAUCCGGAUUUAUUGGGUUUAGAGGGAGCGUAGGUGGAUUGUUAAGUCAGUUGUGAAAGUUUGCGGCUCAACCGUAAAAUUGCAGUUGAAACUGGCAGUCUUGAGUACAGUAGAGGUGGGCGGAAUUCGUGGUGUAGCGGUGAAAUGCUUAGAUAUCACGAAGAACUCCGAUUGCGAAGGCAGCUCACUGGACUGCAACUGACACUGAGGCUCGAAAGUGUGGGUAUCAAACAGGAUUAGAUACCCGGGUAGUC